rnacentral:rRNA from 1 species
UACGAAGGGGGCUAGCGUUGCUCGGAAUCACUGGGCGUAAAGGGUGCGUAGGCGGGUCUUUAAGUCAGGGGUGAAAUCCUGGAGCUCAACUCCAGAACUGCCUUUGAUACUGGCAUUCUCGAGUCCGGAAGAGGUGAGUGGAAUUCCGAGUGUAGAGGUGAAAUUCGUAGAUAUUCGGAGGAACACCAGUGGCGAAGGCGGCUCACUGGUCCGGUACUGACGCUGAGGUGCGAAAGCGUGGGGAGCGAACAGG